CCGCGUGCAAUACUUUCAGGUUAAAACAAAAUAAAUCUCAUCCCAAAAUUUUGCCAAAAGAGAGGUGAAAAAUUGAUAAUGGACUGAUGAUGAAUGAGUGAGUGACAUAUUGUUUGCUGAGCGCCAGUUGGUAUUGACAUAACAUGGUAGAAGUUGCGCCUCUGUUUUACUCGUCCGCAUGCAAAGCGCAGCGCGACAAACGUCAAGCAGGAAAACGAUGAGGCGCACUUAAGUCGUUUAGUCAUGCGGACGCGCGACGACGUCUCGUCAGUCAGUCAGGCAGCCAGCCAGCCGGCGCGGGUUGGUCGAUGAGUAUUGUAAACUAUUCAAGCCCGCCGUCAAUCGGAAGUGCAUUUACCCGACGCAGUUGUGACUUAUUAAUCAGUGCACACGCACACGAAAUCGAUUGCACCGCUGACUCGCCGAGAUAUUUCCAUUUUUAUCCGAGACACCACGACGCAUCCUCACGUGUAACAUGUGAGAAAAUUAAAUGAGCAUCCACUCUCGUUCGCGUUUGAGGUCGGCGCUAAAAAUAAUCCCCGUCUACGCCAAAAAGCGCCGCACGGCGACGACGACGUCGCCGCCAACAACGACAGUUAACGCAUUACUUACUUAAGCCUUGUCGGACGCGUAAAUGCGCGCGCCACUUAAAAAACUAUCCGCCGCAAAAGUGUUUAUGUGUUUAUCAAGUGAUAGUGAUAUUGUUGCAUGGUUAAUGAGUGGCUCGAGUGAUUGUUAUUGUUUUGCCGAUAAACAAUGCGCGAUCUGUGUGCAACGAACGACGACGUCAGCGAUGAAUGGUAAGAAGGGGGCCGCCGUUGCGGCCGCGGUGGCCUUCCUCGAACGCCAGCAGCAACAAAAGUCCAAGCCUAUGUUGCACCAGCAAACGACGGAUAAAAAUGUGAAAAUUGCGGUGGCAAGAGAUAACAUUACUGUCGCCAGCAAUGAGAAUUGUGCGGACGCGAAUAAAUUACUAAACGGGGUCGCGCCAACCAUGAGUGCUGUGGCGGAAAAGCGGAAAAAGUUCGACGCCAAUCGUCCGAAAGUAUUCGCGCGGCAAACGAGUGAGAACAGCGAGAAUCGCAUCAGUAAUGUAGAGAAAACUUUACCGCGCAGCGACGACGAUCACGUAAAUACGUUCGAAGGUGCCGUUUUAGACUUUGAUUUGACAGCUGAGGAUGUACAGAAAUUUGUUGCUGAAUCAAUGAGGAAGAUAGAAUCUGCCACGCAAGAAGCACAAGAUUGUAUGAUUGCCUCCACUACAUCGGAGUAUGUAGCAUCUGAUGACUUCGAAGACUCCACUUCAGAAUCAAGCAGUAGUGGAGGUAGUAGCAGUGAAUCGGACACCGAAGAGGAAUGUAAGGACUUGCCAGCUGGUCUAGCGACCAUUGCUGAAGAGGAUGUCGGUGUUAGUAGCUGCGGUAUGCAUUCUACUGACGAAGGAGAAGAUGCUAGCAGCGAUGAUGGAUCGACGACUCAAGAGGACGAAAGCAGCGCAAAGCUGAAGCAGACGCGAAAUAAACCGGAAAGCAGUGCUAAAAGGACGGACUCACCAUCGUCCGAUAGUUCCUCAUCCACUCCGGAGACAAACAGGAAAGAUAGCUCGACGCGUUGCAACGGCGACUUCCAAUGGAUUCCACCGAAGCACUCGACGCCGUUAACGGACGCCAAGCCGCCGAUAAAUCGCAAUCAUUCGCAAUCGAGUGCCCAUCGGGAUCGGACGCCGCGGCGGGCCUUAGCCGGUGAUAAAUCGGCGCCGGGCAGUUUGGAUCGUCGACGCAACAGUUCGCCACGCACGGAUCGACAGGAACGCGAUCAAAAAUCGCGAUCAUCGUAUGCGCUCAAAUCGCCGCCGCGGUUGGAGGAUUUUGUUAAUCAAUCGAAUUUCCAUGGUGGUGGCGGUGGCUGUCAGAAUUGGUGCUGUAAUCCGUCCGGGCCCGCUGAGUAUUAUGAGAAUUUCCAUCGGCGGCAUGAACGCUUGGAUCCAAUGCGUUAUGGUAGUAAUCCGAUGCUGAUGUGCGGUGGCGCGCCAAUGGACCAACAACAACGCGGCAGUCAUCCGAAUUUGUAUAGCAAUACAGGCAGUGGCAAUCAUCUCGAUUAUCAAUCGCAAAGUUUAUGCGGAUGCGGUUGCGGAUACCCGCAUAUGCCCAUGAUGCCACCUUUUUAUUAUGAUCCACGGGCGUACCACUGGGGUCCUCCCUUGCAUUCUAAUAAGCUUCCAGAUCAAGAUGAAAGAUUUCGUAAGCUGCAACAGGAGCGCGAUAAUCUCCAGCUUCAAGUGCAGGUCCUCAGCGAGCAGAUCGAUGCGCAAAACGAGAAAAUAUCGGACGUGGAAAAGUCCCUCGCCGAAAAGAAGCAGAUGCUUAUCAGCGCCGAGGAUACGCUUCAAAGAGAGAUGCUGUCGCGUUCGUCGCUCGAAACGCAAAAGUUGGAGCUGAUGUCGGCGAUCAGCGAGAUGAAGCUGCAGCAGGCGGCGUUGGAGCGCGAGAAUCUCGAAUUGAAAACAGCCCAACAACAACAGAUCGCAAACAGUGCGUUCGAAGCCAAGAAGGCGGCGUUCUUGGCGAGAAUGUCGCCACAACCUGCGCUUACCUCUACACCUGUUCAUUCUAGCAGUCAAUUGAGGAAAUCUCCAUCACCCAGUCCCGUGACGGUCGGCUCGCUAUCAGCUUCACCUCGCCGCUCUGACGGAUCGGAUCAUCAAUCACCCAAGACGCCGCCGGCUAGCUACCGCCGCCAGAUUGAACUGCAGUACUCCAGCUUGCCGCGCCAGCAGUUUCUAAGUAAUGGCGGCACGUCCUUUUCGGUGGUGGACGCGAACGCGAACCCAUCAUCCUCGGCCGGUGCGGCGGCGAUGAAUGGCGGGGUCAAGAAGGGAGUGGCAUUUGGUAUGGGGCUUUCAUCACUACUUGGGGUUAAGGCGCGGGGGCACUCGGUGCCCAAUCUAGCCGAAACCGAAAAAAUCGUUAUCGGAGAAUCGAACAAUCCAUCCGUACCGCAAUCGCCGUCACUUCAAUUCAACAACAAAAAAGGAAUUAAAAAGAUUUUUGGUAAAAUCAAACGAUCCAACUCUGGAACUUUGGACGACUUCUCAUCUAACUGUAGUGAUUUCCAACGUGGUGGUGUUAGAGCUACUGCGUCUGCGCGCUUGGGUUGGAGUGAACCUACACCUCCUCUUAUAAAACCAGAUAAACCAUUCGCCGAGUGGGACACUGAAAACAUUUGCGACUGGUUGCAAGACUUAGGAUUGGAUCAAUACGUGGUGGAUGCAAAGCGUUGGGUCAAAAAUGGUCAGCAUUUACAGGAAGCAAGUUUGAGCGAGAUUGAAAAGGAACUGGCGAUUAAAAAUCCUCUGCACAAAAAGAAGUUACAACUGGCGUUGAUUGACAUUGAAGAAAACAGUUCUAGCGAUCCUUAUUUGUCAAAAGCAGGUAAAUUGGACACCGCUUGGGUAUUACGUUGGCUGGACGACACAGGCUUACCGCAACACAAAGAGAACUUCCUGCUAAACCGCAUUGACGGUCGCGUGCUGCACAGACUCACCAUGGAUGAUUUGGCGCUACUGCACGUGACCGCGCUACUACACGUGGCGAGUAUAAAGCGCGGCAUUCAGGUCCUUCGAGAGAACAACUAUGAACCGGGAUGUUUACAGCGACGCACUUUGCCCGAGGAUCCGGAACAUGCGACAGCAAAACAAAUAUCGUUAUGGACGACACACAGGGUGAUGGAAUGGUUGAAAGCCGUGGAUUUGGCUGAAUACGCCCCAAAUUUGCGAGGGGCGGGCGUACACGGUGGCCUGAUGGUGCUCGAGAAUAAAUUUAACGCUGAACUGCUCGCCGCGCUAUUGAGCAUACCGGCGAACAAAACUUUGCUGCGGCGGCAUCUGAAUACGCACUUUAAGGAACUCUUGGGCAAAGAUGUCAUACAGGCGAAGCGUGAAGCCGAAGGAACUUUGGGAUAUAUUCCGUUGACGCCAUCUGCUAAACUCAAGGUUGCUAAAAAGUCGCAUUUUUCUUUGAAGAGAAGCAAGAGCAAGUCGGAGGCCGAUUACGGCGAUCUGGUUUGUCCACUGAAUGCGAACUCAGGUGAAAAUUGUCAGAAUGGUUCUCCUAACAUUGGUGUUCCGGAAAUCAUGGUUAUCCAUUGUUAAAUUACUAACACGCUAUGUGUUGUUACAUAGUUUUAAAUAACCGAAUUAGAGUCUUAUAGAUGACGAAGAGGAACGGAAGGGACGAGGUUGUUUAUCAUCUCGUUGAAGAUGACAGUCUUUCGGGUUCUUCAACUAAUUCGCCGAUACCUGAACGACACGAAUUUUAAGAAUGUGUUACUGAUUUGCGCCCAGUGUAAAACAAGAACUGACAAUCAACAUAAAGUUUUGUUAACGUAUUGAUUUUUUGAUUUUUCACUGGUCUACGCAUUCUUUAGAUUAAGAUGGCGGUAGCAAGGGUUGAUGAAUGGGUGCUCUAGCAAGGAAACAAAGGAAAUUCUUCAUUCAUAGCUAAAAGUUCCUGACACAUUUUAGCCAUUUGUAUGUAUUGCAAGUAUUUAUAUGAAAAAAAGCUCGGAAAUUAGUCUUCCCCAGAGAAUCUAGAUCUGCCUUAUUAUCAAUGAUAUGUAUUGUAUAACCAGCAGUAUAUUUUGACCACUUUAUUUAAAUAUUCAACAUGGCGCAAGUAUUAUAUUACUUUUCUGUGCAUUUAUUAAGAUUAGUGACACCUACUAGCAUUGUGUUCUACACUAGUAGUAGAUGAUAAACGUAUAAAACAUCAUAUUUGACAAUAUACACCCUAGAAAUAUGCGAAUUUCGGGCAAAUAUUUAACAGACUUACUAGUGCCAAAACGAAUUCAAAUGUAAAUUACAUUCAAAGCAAGCGAACCACUAGAAAUUCAUUGACUUGUAGCAUUUUACAUGAUACUAACUAUAAGAUAUAUUUUAAUGAAACAUAUAUUUAAAUAUUAUAGUUUUAUGGAGGUUGAACCAAAUAUGAAUUAUUGUUGUUUGAUUAUUUGUUGUAUGAUGAGUAUUAAACGAUGAAGUUAACGUGUGUAAUCAUGUAAAGCAUCAUUUUACUGCUUUAACAUAAAUAAUAAUAAACUAUGUACACUUAAGUAGCAUUUGUUACCGGAAUACUAUACAAUAUCAUACAACAUACAGGAAAGUAGCAGUUAGCUAUAUUAUACAGUCUUAAUUUAUAACUGUAAAAGUUGACCAAAUUUUAUAUACAGGUGGAAAUGUGUAUAAAUAUGCAUAAAACAGUUCUUUCAAAUAGCUCACAGUAGCAUACUACAACUGUCUCUAAGUUGGGUAUGUCUAUAAUUUAAAACGUGUGCUUUUAUCAUGAGUGAAGUUAAGGAUGUAAGACUUAAAAUAUCGUUUAUUUUCACCAUUAUGAUGUAUGUUUAGGGAGAAUAUGUAUAAUGAAUGAUCAUGAAACAUAUAUAGUACUGAAAUCAUUAGUGUGUUGCAUUGUUUGCAAUAAACUAAAUUAAAUUGACAACAAAUUAUAUAUCACAAUGUUAUGAAUAUAAUAACAACUUAUUAAUUCUG